rnacentral:rRNA from 1 species
AAUGAACGUUGGCGGCGUGGAUUAGGCAUGCAAGUCGAGCGUGUACCCCGCAAGGGGGAAAGCGGCGAAAGGGACAGUAAUACGUAGGUACCAACCUUGGGGUCGGGGAUAGCCGCGGGAAACUGCGGGUAAUACCCGAUGACGUCGAGAGACCAAAGGUGUGAUUCCGCCCUUAGACGGGCCUGCGUCCUAUUAGCUUGUUGGUGAGGUAACGGCUCACCAAGGCUGUGAUGGGUAGCGGGUGUGAGAGCACGACCCGCGUCAUUGGGACUGAGACACUGCCCAGACACCUACGGGUGGCUGCAGUCGAGGAUCUUCGGCAAUGGGCGCAAGCCUGACCGAGCGACGCCGCGUGUGGGAUGAAGGCCUUCGGGUUGUAAACCACUGUCAGUGGGGAGGAAAUUCGACGGGGGUUCUCCCCCGUGAUUGACCUAUCCGCAGAGGAAGGGUGGGCUAAGCUCGUGCCAGCAGCCGCAGUAAAAC